rnacentral:rRNA from 1 species
UACGAAGGGGGCUAGCGUUGUUCGGAAUCACUGGGCAUAAAGCGCACGUAGGCGGUCUGUUAAGUCAGGUGUGAAAGCCCCCGGCUCAACCGGGGAAUUGCAUUUGAUACUGGCAGGCUCGAGAACGGUAGGGGUGAGUGGAACUCCAGGUGGAGCGGUGAAAUGCGUAGAUAUCUGGAGGAACACCGGUGGCGAAAGCGGCUCACUGGACCGUCACUGACGCUGAGGUGCGAAAGCUAGGGUAGCAAACGGG